rnacentral:rRNA from 1 species
CGCUCUUUGUUGUUAUUUUAUAGGGAGUCGUACCUGCCCGGUGAUAACUUUAACGGCCGCAGUACCCUGACUGUGCUAAGGUAGCAUAAUCAUUUGCCUUUUAAUUGAAGGCUUGUAUGAAUGGUUUGACGUGAAUUUAGCUGUCUCUUUUAUAUUAUCUAGAAAUUAAUUUUUAGGUGCAGAAGCCUUAAUGUUUUAAAAAGACGAAAAGACCCUGUCGAGCUUAAAAUAAACUUGAAAUUAGUCUGUUUUGGAAGUAUAAUUUUUUAAGAAUAUUGUUUGUUGGGGUGACAGAAGAACAUAAGUAGCUUCUUUUUAUUUUUGUAAUUUAUGUAUUUUAUGAUCCAUUAUUUAAUGAUUAUAAGAGUAGUUACCGCAGGGAUAACAGCGUAAUUUUUUCGGAAAGUUCUAAUUGAAGAAAAAGUUUGCGACCUCGAUGUUGGAUUAGAAAACCUGCUAGGUGUAGAUGCUUAGUAAGGAGGUCUGUUCGCCCUUUAAAUUUCUACAUGAUCUGA